UCGGAUAGAUUGGGUGCUAGGUAGGGGUAGAUUGGGAUUAGGGGUAAGAGAGGAGGCAAGGGAGUCGGCGGUGUUGACGGGUGAGGACUAAGGCCGCUAAGACCGUCGAUAGCGGCCGCGCCACGUGUGGCGGCUCCAGCCGAGAAAGCCGAGGUAGGAGGGGGGACCGUUCUAAAAGGGAAGGGCCGGAGAUGGCGAGCGGGUUUAGGGUGUGGGCACGAUCCCAAAGCCGGAGAGAGUAGCGGAAGCAAUAACCGCGUACAGGCUGCCGGAGACCGCCGAGAAGAGGUGGCAGAAAUCGCGGGGGUGCACGCGGGAGCGGAAGACUACAAGAUGGAGCUCGUCCCGCCGCGCCUCCUAGAGGAGGGCGUCCUAGGUGUCUGCACCGCGUGGGACGUCGGCGGACAGGCCCUCCUCCCGCCUGUGACACAGGAACAGGACGAGCUACUGCUAGCGCCGCUUGCGGCCACGACGAGGAGUAAGAGCUGGAAGUUCCUCCUCGUGACCAUGUCGUCUUCGUGCGGGAAGGGGACUUGUUAGAAGUACCGCAGUCCUGCAGGAGGAGGAACUGCGCCGACAAGGGUUACUCGAGAGAGGAGGCCUCCUCCACUUCGUCGAACAGGUCGUGGGGGAACCGGAGGAUAGGACGUGGUGUACUUGCUCGAGUGGCUGCCAACGCAAGACGGGAGGAUCGCACUAUAACCAAUACCGUCGUAAAAGUUGUUCUUUCUGACGCAAAACUGUUGAAACCGUACCUGCCCACCUAGACGACGAACCUUCUGGGGAUCAACCACACACCGGCGGACUAUUCUCACCGGUAGCGAACCACCCGCACCACGACCAUCAUCUCAUCCUAUCACAAGAAGCCCUGUACGAACAUUUUAAUUCCAAAAACCCAGAAAAAAAGGCGAGGACAUGUUCACAUAAAAACCUAGACAACAACAUUAAAAGAAAAAGAUUACUGUACUCGUAUAUGAAAGACAGUUUAAGAAUAACCGCAUUUAAAAGGUACCUUUUACUC
rnacentral:rRNA from 1 species